UACUCUUGACAUCCUGCGAACUUUCUAGAGAUCGAUUGGUGCCUUCGGGAACGCAGAGACAGGUGCUGCAUGGCUGUCGUCAGCUCGUGUCGUGAGAUGUUGGGUUAAGUCCCGCAACGAGCGCAACCCUUGUCCUUAGUUGCCAUCAUUUAGUUGAGAACUCUAAUGAGACUGCCGGUGACAAACCGGAGGAAGGCGGGGACGACGUCAAGUCAUCAUGGCCCUUAUGAGAAGGGCUACACACGUGCUACAAUGGCCGGUACAAAGAGUCGCGAACUGGCGAGAGGGAGCUAAUCUCAUAAAACCUCUCGUAGUCCGGAUCGGAGUCUGCAACUCGACUCCGUGAAGUCGGAAUCGCUAGUAAUCGUGAAUCAGAAUGUCACGGUGAAUACGUUCCCGGGCCU
rnacentral:rRNA from 1 species